CUUGACCGAACCGAGCAGCAGCGGCCGCCCCGGGCCGCGCCCGUGCCCGUAGGCGGCGAUGAGGGCGUUCGCCUC
rnacentral:antisense_RNA from 1 species